AUUGAACGCUGGCGGCAGGCCUAACACAUGCAAGUCGAACGAGUGGCGGACGGGUGAGUAAUGUCUGGGAAACUGCCUGAUGGAGGGGGAUAACUACUGGAAACGGUAGCUAAUACCGCAUACCAUCAGAUGUGCCCAGAUGGGAUUAGCUAGUUGGUGGGGUAACGGAUCACAAGGGCGAAGAUCCAUAGCUGGUCUGAGAGGAUGACCAGCCACACUGGACCUUCGAUACGGUCCAGACUCCUACGCGAGGCCGCGUUGGGGAAUAUUGCACAAUGGGCGCAAGCAUGAUCCAGCCCUGCCGCGUGUAUGAAGAAGGCCUUCGGGUUGUAAAGUACUUUCAGCGGGGAGGCGUUACCCGCAGAAUAAGCACCGGCUAACUCCGUGCCAGCAGCCGCGGUAAUAC
rnacentral:rRNA from 1 species